rnacentral:lncRNA from 1 species
GCAUUUUUUAAAUCCGUGCUUCCUCUUUCCCCAGCAAACCGUCUAUGCAGAUUUUGAAAGGAGACUUUUGAAAAGAGUAAAAAGCAGUCCUGCAAGUGAAUCCCAGACCCAGAGGAGAAAACUGAGGCCCAAAGUGGUUAAUUCAAUCAACAUGUGUCCUCAAAGUAGAAAGUGGUGAAGUUACGUCUGUCCUUUGGACCACAUCUGACACUCUGUCUCUGACUCUCUCGGAUGACGAUUAUUUUAGGCUGGUUACUUUUAAAAACUGCAGAUGAGAAGGAGGCUCUGAGAAGUGGAAUUUGCUUGCCCUUUGAUCAGAGCCAUUUGCAUUUGUGAAGGAAGUCUCCAUCUGUGGGGGUGUUUCCUUCCCUGCACCAGGAGGAAGGGGGGAUGGCCUUAUCUCUGGAAACUCUUAAUGGAGAUGGCAAGGACUUAAGUUGUUUACUGUCUGGUAACCUCAUGUAACUGACGCUCUCCCCCCCCCCCCCCCCACCAACAUCCUCCUUUGUCUUUAGCUAAAGAUAAUAUUUAAGGUGGUGGCUUCUGCCAUUUACUUAAUCCAGUUUGAUUCUUAUCUAAAAGUUAUAGGACCACCCAAUAACCAGACCCCACCUGCACUGAUACCAUUUUAACAACUCUUUUUACGUAUUCUUUCCUUUGUCUUGUAAAGAGGUAACUCACAUACCUAUGCCUUAAAUUUAGCCCUACCCUCAACCCAUGUUUGCAGCAGCAGCUCUGACUGCCCAUGAGUCCUGUCCCCAUGCUAUUCCACACUAUUCUCUAAAUAAAAGAGCACUACUGCCAGACCUUGAGAGUCCAAGAAAUCUUUCUUUCAACUCCUCGGCUUACCGACCCCGCAUUAUUUCUGGCGGCCUGUACGGGGAUCCUGCUUCAUUGGUUUGUGGCCUCGAGUUCUGGUGGAUCAUAAACAAUGAGUUCCUAAGCCUUGGCUGCCACCUGGAUGGAUUGGACGAUGCACCCUAGGCUUCAUCUGGAUGCAAGAGUAUCUGUAUACCUUGUCAGCCUUGGACUCCACAGGUGCAACCUUCCGGUCCACUGAACUUCCUGCCUGUACCUAUGGCCACAUUUAGGGACAGCUCUACAACCUUGUACAGCCAGAAGUAGUUACAGAAGACUGACCACCGUCUGUAUCCCCAAAAGAUUUCGGGGCCAAAUGAGUUCCGGGGGGGUUUAUGAUGAGGAUUAUUUUAGGCUGGUUACUUUUAAAAACUGCAGAUGAGAAGGAGGCUCUGAGAAGUGGAAUUUGCUUGCCCUUUGAUGAGAGACAUUUGCAUUUGUGAAGGAAGUCUCCACCUGUGGGGGGGUGUCUCCUUCCCUGCACCAGGAGGAAGGGGGGAUGGCCUUAUCUCUGGAAACUCUUAAUGGAGACGGCAAGGACUUAAGUCUUGUUUAUUGUGCUUGUCUGGUAACCUCAUGUAGCUGACUCCCCCCACCACCAACAUCCUCCUUUGUCUUUAGCUGAAGAUACUAUUUAAGGUGGUGGCUUCUGUCAUUUACUUAAUCUGGCCUAAUUCUUAUCUAAAGUUAUAGGACCACCCAAUAACCAGUCUCUACCGGCACUGAUACCAUUUUAACAACUCUUUUUACAUAUUCUUUCCUUUGUCUUGUAAAGUGAUAACUCGCAUACCUAUGCCUUAAAUUUAGCUCUACCCUCAACCCACAUUUGCAGCAGCAGCUCCUCCUGCCCGUGGGUCCUGUC